rnacentral:rRNA from 1 species
UAUUUUUUGUAAAAUUGAAUAUAUUUAUUAUUUUUUAAUUUUCUAAGGUAAAAUUAGGAGAGUUGAUUUAUUUUUAUUUAAUUUAUAAGAUUUAAUAAACAAACCAGAUUAGUACCUGGUUAGAUAAAAUUUAAAAGAGCAGGAGUAAAGUUGUGUUUAAACUGUAAGGAUAUUGGCAGGCUUUUUAAAUUAUCUUUGGAGGUUGAAUAGUAAUUGAGAACCCUCAUUAUCAUCUUUUAUUUUAGGCGCAUGUAUGAUCGUUUAUUUUAUUCUUAAGGAUUGUAAUUAAAAAUUUUUUAUUUAUAAAAAUAGAUAAAUACCUGGUUUAUAUAUUAGUUUGAAUUUGACCUACAAUAUUUUAUAAUGUGGAUUUAUCGAGAGAUCGAAUAUUGAAAAUGUAAAAGACAGUAAAUUAGUUUUUAUACCUAAUUGAAGUUUAUUUAAGGGCGGUACAAAUCAUC